rnacentral:rRNA from 1 species
GCANGGCAGAAUCCAAUUCUAUUCCUGCCACCGAAUACAUUCNNGCAUGGGAUAAUCGGAAUAGGACCCUGUCCUCCUAUUUCUCAGUCUGGUUUUUGGCAGCGCGAGGACUAGGGUAAUGAUUAAUAGGGAUAGUCGGGGGCAUUAAUAUUUAAUCGUCAGAGGUGAAAUUCUUGGAUUUAUGAAAGAUUAACUUCUGCGAAAGCAUCUGCCAAGGAUGUUUUCAUUAAUCAAGAACGAAAGUUAGGGGAUCGAAGACGAUCAGAUACCGUCGUAGUCUUAACCAUAAACGAUGCCGACCAGCGAUUAGGAGACGUUGAAUACAAAACACCACCAUCGGUUGCGGUCGUCCUUGGCGUCUCGGUUUCGGCCGGGGCGCGGGGAUGGUUUAGCCCGGUGGCACCGGUGAAUGACUCCCCUAGCCUUGGGGGGGAAAAAA